rnacentral:sRNA from 1 species
UCACUGGCAAAAUCCAGUGACGGGUUUAGGACCCCGGAUUUAACCGUACGACAUAUAAAUGUCAGCUUCGUGCUGACUUUUU